AUUGAACGCUGGCGGCAUGCCUUACACAUGCAAGUCGAACGGCAGCACGGGAGCAAUCCUGGUGGCGAGUGGCGAACGGGUGAGUAAAGCAUCGGAACGUGCCCAGUCGUGGGGGAUAACGUAGCGAAAGCUACGCUAAUACCGCAUACGAUCUGUGGAUGAAAGCGGGGGACCGUAAGGCCUCGCGCGAUUGGAGCGGCCGAUGUCAGAUUAGGUAGUUGGUGGGGUAAAGGCUCACCAAGCCGACGAUCUGUAGCUGGUCUGAGAGGACGACCAGCCACACUGGGACUGAGACACGGCCCAGACUCCUACGGGAGGCAGCAGUGGGGAAUUUUGGACAAUGGGCGCAAGCCUGAUCCAGCAAUGCCGCGUGCAGGAUGAAGGCCUUCGGGUUGUAAACUGCUUUUGUCAGGGAAGAAAUACUCUGGGCUAAUACCCUGGGGUGAUGACGGUACCUGAAGAAUAAGCACCGGCUAACUACGUGCCAGCCGCCGCAGUAAUAC
rnacentral:rRNA from 1 species